rnacentral:rRNA from 1 species
GAGUUUGAUCUUGGCUCAGAUUGAACGCUGGCGGCAUGCCUUACACAUGCAAGUCGAACGGCAGCACGGGAGCUUGCUCCUGGUGGCGAGUGGCGAACGGGUGAGUAACGCGUGGGCAACCUCCCCCUUAAACCGGGACAACCCUUGGAAACGAGGGCUAAUACCGGAUACGCUUUUCUGAGGACAUCCUCGGGAAAGGAAAGGCGGCCUCUGAAGAUGCUGCCGAUAAGGGAUGGACCCGCGUCUGAUUAGCUGGUUGGUGGGGUAAAGGCCUACCAAGGCGACGAUCAGUAGCCGGCCUGAGAGGGUGAACGGCCACACUGGGACUGAGACACGGCCCAGACUCCUACGGGAGGCAGCAGUGGGAAUCUUCCGCAAUGGACGAAAGUCUGACGGAGCAACGCCGCGUGUAUGACGAAGGCCUCGGUUGUAAGUAC